rnacentral:rRNA from 1 species
GGGGCCCAAGGUGACCGGUACCUUGGAGAAGAGGCGCCGGGCUAUCUAGGUGCCAGCAGCCGCGGUUAUACGUAGGGCGCAAGCGUUGUCCGGAAUUAUUGGGCGUAAAGAGCUCGUAGGCGGUCUGUCGCGUCUGGUGUGAAAUCCCGAGCCUCAACCUCGGUCUUGCAUCGGGUACGGCCAGAAUAGAGUGCGUUAGGGGAAAACUGGGAUUCCCUGGUGUAGGCGGUGGAAUGCGCCAGAAUAUUCAGUAGUAAACACCGAUGGGCGAAGGGCAGGUCUCUGGGGCGCAACUGACGCUGAGGAGCGAAAGCAUGGGGGAGCGAACAGGAUUAGAUACCCUGGUAGUCAAGGGCGAAUUCCACAGUG